GGGAGUUGUGGAAAAUGAAAUAAAAAUGUCUCUAUCUUUUCUGUAAACCCCAAAGCAAGAAAGAAGAAAGAGCAGCUGGCUCCUACCAGCAAACCCGGAGGCGGGGACGCUAAGCAAUGCGGCACUCCCUGGCAUCCAUCAGCCCAGGCUUCGGCGGCGGUGGCGGCAGCGGGGGCGACAGCAGCAUCAACUCCUCUCGGCGAUUAUCUUUUCAAGGAUAUCUGCAUAAUGAAUAGCCUUGGAAGAGCCUUGAAAGAUAGAGAUAAUAGUACCUCCAUCCAGAAUGAAGAGAGAGUUUAUUUAUAGCAUUUGAAGAGGGAUGUUUUCCUACUGAACAAAAGGCAAGCAGCCUUGUGGAAUUGGAGCUGAGAGGCCAGUGCACAAAACGUUGAUGCUGUUAUUUCCUGCAGCACCUGAGUGAGAAAGUCCUUUAUCUCUGACCCAGGAGUUUGACAUAUUCUACAAGCAUCCAUGAAACUACAGCUUGUAUGUAAGAUUAAAACUCAGAUCCUUCACUGUAUUUAAAAACUAUUGCUUAAAUUUGUUUUCUGAUAUGGAACAAUUAGACUAUAUUUUUUAGAGGAAUUUACAAGAUAAAUUAAAUUUGUUGGUCCAUGAUAUGAUGUAACUGCAUUUAGUAACAAUAUGUUUAUUAUAUCUUGCUAACAAUAGAAUUGCUUCAAAUAAGCUUAUUUUAAUAUAUCAAUAUAUGAUAUAAUAGUCUCUGUCCUGCAAUGGGAUUUUUAGAAUAGAGCAGAUAGGUAGAUAUAUAAAAAAAAAACCUUUUUAUGACAUUUGCAAACUAUUAGUCUCUUUUUCCAAUAUUAUACUAUUAUCUUUACUAGUACUUUUGAAAUUAGUUUUGGAACCAAAAUAAACACAAAGUCAUCUAUGAAUUAAACAAGGUAUUUAUCCAGAGGACAUCAGUGCAUUUGAUUCCAUUAAAUAUUAAUUUACCUUGUUAAAUGAAUGCAAAGUAGUGUAAGAACUAGAAUAUGAGAAUAAAUUAACUAAACAAAAGGAUUAAUUAAAGCAUUAUUGGAAAAUAAUUAAAUCAAGAACUUCAGGUGUUUUCAAGCAACUGGAAAGAAAAGUCUGCUGAAUUUAAAAUGGAUAGAGUAAGUAGUUGGUGUUUUAAAAUAUUUUAUUGGAUUUAUUGUAUAGAAAGAGGCACAAUGAAAAGACGCACAGUUCGAUUACAUACUCUAAAGUAAACACUUGUUUAAAUAUUUAUCCAAGAUAGAGAAUAGAACCUUGGCAAGAAAGAGAAAGCCCCCAUUGCUAUCUCUUCCUGACUAUUGGCCACGUCUUUCCAAUAAGUGAAGUCACAUUAUCUUCCUUUUGAAAUUAAUUCUUGUUUUUAUUUAAAUUUUAUAAGCUAAGUAACCAGUGUAGUUUUUCCAAUUUUUGUACAUAAAUCAAUAUCUCUAUGUAAUUUUUUGAUUGGCCUUUUUCCUUCAAUAAUACGUGAGAUUAAUCCAUGUUGCUACUUGUAGUUAGUUAAUUCUAAUUUAGUGAUGAUGCAUGUUAUGCAAUCUAUGCACAUACUAGAAUAUAUUUUUCCUCAGAUGAAGAUUUGAUAUUUAUAAAAUUUGGGCUGUUAUUAUUCAUGAUGUAUGAACAGUCUUAUAUGCAUCUCAGUGCACAAAGACUUACUUAGGAAUGAAAAUUGCUGGAUCAUAUGGCAUAAGCAUCUUUAAAUUUAGUAAACAAUGCUAAGCUAUUUUCCAAAUGGCUGUACUAUUUCACUCUCCCACCCCCACAGCAGAUUUUGAGUUUUCA